AAUGAACGCUGGCGGCAGGCCUAACACAUGCAAGUCGAACGGAUCCUUCGGGAUUAGUGGCGGACGGGUGAGUAACGCGUGGGAACAUACCCUUUGGUACGGAAUAGCCUCGGGAAACUGGGAGUAAUACCGUAUGUGCUCUUCGGAGGAAAGAUUUAUCGCCAAAGGAUUGGCCCGCGUUGGAUUAGGUAGUUGGUGGGGUAAUGGCCUACCAAGCCGACGAUCCAUAGCUGGUUUGAGAGGAUGAUCAGCCACACUGGGACUGAGACACGGCCCAGACUCCUACGGGAGGCAGCAGUGGGGAAUCUUAGACAAUGGGGGAAACCCUGAUCUAGCCAUGCCGCGUGAUCGAUGAAGGCCUUAGGGUUGUAAAGAUCUUUCAGUGGGGAAGAUAAUGACGGUACCCACAGAAGAAGCCCCCGGCUAACUCCGUGCCAGCAGCCGCGGU
rnacentral:rRNA from 1 species